GACGAACGCUGGCGGCGUGCCUAAUACAUGCAAGUCGAACGCUUCCUACCGGUGCUUGCACCGGGAAAGAAGAGUGGCGGACGGGUGAGUAACACGUGGGUAACCUACCUACAAGCGGGGGAUAACAUUCGGAAACGGAUGCUAAUACCGCAUAGAUCUUUUUGUCUCCUGGCAGAAAGAAGAAAGACGGUUUCGGCUGUCACUUGUAGAUGGACCCGCGGCGCAUUAGUUAGUUGGUGAGGUAAUGGCUCACCAAGACGAUGAUGCGUAGCCGACCUGAGAGGGUGAUCGGCCACACUGGGACUGAGACACGGCCCAGACUCCUACGGGAGGCAGCAGUAGGGAAUCUUCCGCAAUGGACGAAAGUCUGACGGAGCAACGCCGCGUGAGUGAAGAAGGUUUUCGGAUCGUAAAACUCUGUUGUUAGAGAAGAACAAGGAUGAGAGUAACUGCUCGUCCCUUGACGGUAUCUAACCAGAAAGCCAUGGCUAACUAC
rnacentral:rRNA from 1 species